GGUAUUGUUUACCCCACAUGGUAAGCCCCGGAACUUAUUAUGCUAUUGUAAACAAUGA
rfam:Dolosigranulum pigrum ATCC 51524 genomic scaffold supercont1.1, whole genome shotgun sequence.